UGCAGGAAUCCCAGUGACUAUAUCGCCACCAUCUUGGAGCUCAGUGCCCUCAUAAUGUAACGGCAACAGCAGAUCUUCCUGCACAGGGACUUUCUGUACUACGUCACUGCUGAGGGGUGGUGCUUCUGCAGGGCCUGUGUUGUGGUGCACAACUUCAGACACCAUCAUCCUGGAGCAGCACUGCACCCUCACUAGCCAGGGAGUUAAUAACUUCCUGAAGGUCACAGCCACAUUCAAGACUUUGGACUUCAUUGAUGUGCUUGUGCUGGACAAGUUGUCAGAUAAGCACAUAAAAGUGGAAGCUGACAUCUUCAUGAGAUAUGACAGCACAGCCAGUGGCCUCUUCUGGGUCCUGUACAUCUUCACAAGACAAGUAGACAUCAGGAGUGCUGCCAGCACUUGGUGCAGGAGU
rnacentral:lncRNA from 1 species